GACGAACGCUGGCGGCGUGCCUAAUACAUGCAAGUUGAGCGCUGAAGGUUGGUACUUGUACCGACUGGAUGAGCAGCGAACGGGUGAGUAACGCGUGGGUAAUCUGCCUUUGAGCGGGGGACAACAUUUGGAAACGAAUGCUAAUACCGCAUAAAAACUUUAAACACAAGUUUUAAGUUUGAAAGAUGCAAUUGCAUCACUCAAAGAUGAUCCCGCGUUGUAUUAGCUAGUUGGUGAGGUAAAGGCUCACCAAGGCGAUGAUACAUAGCCGACCUGAGAGGGUGAUCGGCCACAUUGGGACUGAGACACGGCCCAAACUCCUACGGGAGGCAGCAGUAGGGAAUCUUCGGCAAUGGACGAAAGUCUGACCGAGCAACGCCGCGGGAGUGAAGAAGGGUUUCGGAUCGUAAAACUCUGUUGGUAGAGAAGAACGUUGGUGAGAGUGGAAAGCUCAUCAAGUGACGGUAACUACACAGAAAGGGACGGCUAACUACGUG
rnacentral:rRNA from 1 species